rnacentral:rRNA from 1 species
GCAUUAAUCCCCCCAGGGGAACCUGGCCCUUAAUUCGAUGAUCCACGAAUCUCUUACCUUUCCUAGUUUCCAGGUAGUUAAAUUAUUAAGUUCUGGUUUUCAGCUUGUAUACCGCCGUUUCUUAGCUUGUAUCGCGAGAGGACAUAAACAGGCGCCUUAGUGGUUCUUAGAUAAAAAGAAUUUACUGAUAAUUCAGGUAAACGUGCAGCUAAUGGAAAGGGGGCGCUGGGUUACAAUUGAGGUUUGGAAUAGCGUGGUUACCUUAAGGGUAGGACAAAAGAGUACUUGGAAGUAAUAGUUUUGGGUAAUGAAGCUGUGAAUGGUGCUCUAGUGUGUGU